rnacentral:rRNA from 1 species
CUGCCAGACUCCUACGGGAGGCAGCAGUGAGGAAUAUUGGUCAAUGGGCGAGAGCCUGAACCAGCCAAGUCGCGUGAGGGAGUACUGUCCUAUGGGUUGUAAACCUCUUUUGUCGGGGAGCAAAGCGAACCACGUGUGGUUCAUUGAGAGUACUCGAAGAAAAAGCAUCGGCUAACUCCGUGCCAGCAGCCGCGGUAAUGCGGAGGAUGCGAGCGUUAUCCGGAUUUAUUGGGUUUAAAGGGUGCGCAGGCGGAGGUGCAAGUCAGCGGUCAAAUUGCGGGGCUCAACCCCGUACUGCCGUUGAAACUGCAUCCCUUGAGUGCGCGAGAAGUAUGCGGAAUGCGUGGUGUAGCGGUGAAAUGCAUAGAUAUCACGCAGAACUCCGAUUGCGAAGGCAGCAUACCGGCGCGCAACUGACGCUCGUGCACGAAAGCGUGGGUAUCGAACAGGAUUAGAUACCCGGGUAC